CCGCUGCUUCCGGCUGCUACUGCUCCAACGAAGCGCUGAAGGCCGGCCGAUGCACAUAUCGGCUCCGGCGACGAGCUCGUCAUCGGGGACUUGAUUGCUUUUUAUUUUAUUUUCCAGGGACCUGAUUGCUUUUAAAAAAAAUAUAGGGACGUGAUUGCUUCUACAUCACAAAAAAUCUGAUGUCCCAGGCGUCUUUGGAUUGUAGGAUUUUUCUAUAGAACUUCUGAAGGAUUUUCAUUUGGGUUUUCUCACACAAGCGUCAUUUGGAUCAUAGGAUUUGAGUUUUUUAAUUCCUAUGAGCACAAUCAUAAGCCAACAAUUUCCUACCUCCCCUCAUUAACAAGUACAACUUGUUGAAGAUGACCUAAGGAAGUUACAAAACCAAGAGAUCAGCAGAAAGAAAGUACUCCUAUUGAAUGUCUGUUGUUUGGCCCUUGUAGCUCUGUGUGAGCUCUUCUUUAUUUUUGUUUUGAGACUUUAAGACCUUGUCGAACCUAUUUAUUUGUUUAAUAAGAUGACCGUAUGCAUCGUCCUGAUGCAGAGGCCGGGGAGUCCCCCCUUUUCGAAAAAAAAAGAAAAAAAAUUGUCUUGAGAACAGCAAAGAAUAUAAGUACAAGCGUAUUUUGACAACAAAAGUCGAAGAUGCUAUGUAGGCCUGUAACCGUAAUGGAAUACCUUGUAAACUUUCCCAAGUUGGCCCCUGCCAAUUAUUUGCGAAAAAUCACGUGUAGCUUGCCUGAAAAAAAUAUAUCCUGGCAUCCUUGACCCAUCACUCGUACCUUGCGAGUUUACCUGUGGGGGCAAUGAGCAAGUAAGAGUAUGAUUGAUAUUUUACAUAAAUUACCCUGCAAGAAAAGAUAUUUUAUAUGAAUUGAAAAGCCUUGCAGAUAGAAGUAGUUAUGAGCAAAGCCGUACUUUCUUAACCUCUCAAAGUUUUACAGCAGAAGACUAUCUAUUUCUAUGUCAAUUGAGAAAUUAUUAAUUCUAAGUCAGCAAUCUUGAACAUCGAGUUGUUAUCCAACAAAAUCUUGGUAGUUAAAUAGUUUAAAAUUUAUGUGGAAUUUAGUUGUGCAAAUGUACAAGUUGUGCAGCUUGUAUUUUCUUCAGCUGUAAACUUCAUGAUGAACAACUUGAUCAACUUAGAAAUAAAAUUCCUUGAUCAACUAAGAAAUAAAAACCUGUCUGGAUAAGAUAACUUUCGUAUGCAAUACAUACAGUGAAGAUAUGGGGAUCAGAAGCUACAUGUAGAACCAUGGCACUACUGAUUAACCAGGAUCUUGUUGUAUAAUUAAUCAGAGAGCUAGUUGAAGCUGCUAAAUCACACCUGAAAGGGAAAGUUUGGUGUUCCAAAAGAAGAAAGCGGCUCCGAUGGUGGUGAGGACAUUUGUGGGCUUCGAGCUGUGAAGAAUUGCACAUCCGAGCAAGAAUUUGGUCAGAAGCUGUAUUAUUGGGCGAAAUACAAAAGGGAACGUACAUGAGCUAGUUUACCUGAGAAGACGACUUGCGGUGCGCUGUAGGCAGAGCAAGCAAUGAGCUAGAGCCAGAAGGGAUAAGAAUGAAGAGCAGCUAGCUAGCUUAGCUUGGCCCUUUAAUUGCGGGUUGGAGUCUAGAUCUGGAUCACUCUUGCAAUUUUCAACUUAUUAGUUCAGCUUAUUUGCAGGUCGUAUUCAGAUUAAAAAUCAUGGCUGACGAAGACGAACCAUUUUUUUUGGAGGAGUGGACUUGACCCAAAGCCAAAGGGCUCUGGGCAUGUGAUGUGAUGCUUGGCAAUCCAGACCAACAAGCAAUAAAAGUCUUCUGACUAGCCACGAUGUCUGAAGUCCUAAUAAACAACAGGUUUCCU
rnacentral:lncRNA from 1 species